rnacentral:rRNA from 1 species
CCCUUAGACGUUCUGGGCCGCACGCGCGCUACACUGACCAGUGCAACAAGCAUCCGUCCUUGGCCGACAGGCCCGGGCAAUCUUUGAACGCUGGUCGUGAUGGGGAUAGACUUUUGCAAUUUUUGGUCUUCAACGAGGAAUUCCUAGUAAACGCAAGUCAUCAACUUGCAUUGAUUACGUCCCUGCCCUUUGUACACACCGCCCGUCGCACCUACCGAUUGAAUGGCCCGGUGAAGCCUCCGGAUUGGCGCGCACCUCGGUGCCGCCGAGAAGUUGGCUAAACCUUACCAUUUAGAGGAAGGUGAANUCGUANCA